GUGCUCACUUUGGCAGCACAUAUACUAAAAUUGGAACGAUACAGAGAUUAGCAUGACCCCUCUGCAAGGAUGACACACAAAUUUGUAAAGAAAAGCAAUAUAAUUUU
ensembl:snRNA U6 U6 spliceosomal RNA